GCUUCAGACAAAAUUCAAGAUCUAUAAGAUCACAUUUAAUCAGAACACUUUACCAGGAUGGGUCAUGUCUAUAGCUUGGCUUGUAUACUUGUUGUGGCUUUGGAUUUCAUUCAAAGAACCAGCUCGUGAUGAUGAUGUGGGAGCCCCACAAAAUGCUGGUCCCGAAGCAGGGACUGUUCCACCCGAGGAAAUUGAAAGUGGCCUUGCACAACCUCUGCUUUUGAACACAAAAGAGAAACAGGUUGAAGAUGGUGACGAAGAUUGUGAUGAUAGU
rnacentral:misc_RNA from 1 species